UACAGAGGUCUCAAGCGUUGUUCGGAUUCAUUGGGCGUAAAGGGUGCGUAGGUGGCGCGCUAAGUCGGGGUGUGAAAUUUCGGAGCUUAACUCCGAAACUGCAUUCGAUACUGGCGUGCUUGAGGACUGGAGAGGAGACUGGAAUUCAUGGUGUAGCAGUGAAAUGCGUAGAGAUCAUGAGGAAGACCAGUGGCGAAGGCGGGUCUCUGGACAGUUCCUGACGCUGAGGCACGAAGGCCAGGGGGAGCAAACGGG
rnacentral:rRNA from 1 species